ACAAAUUUCCCCCAAAAGUUUCUCUACAAGUUUUGAGAUCUGAGAUUUGAAUUUGAAAAUUAAAAACAGAAGAUACAAAUCUGAAAGAGAGAGAUCGUUCUAGUCCUCAGAAAUCCUUAAAAAACCCAAAAAUAUAGCUGAAAAUCCACACAAAAAAAUACAGUUUUAUUGAAAUUUUCUAGGCCAAUCUAAAAAAUUCUAGAUGUUAAUUCAAUCCUUGGCUCAGAUAGAAUAAAAAUGGCUUGAAGAUCCUGGUAUUUGGUUGUUGAAUUUGCAGGAGUGGUCCUGGGUUUAAUUUCAAGUUUGUUGGGUUCUAUCGAGUCUAUUUUGGGUGUUUUGUUGGUGUUGUUUCUCCUUCAUUCAUUCCUGGGCUUUGUGAUGCUGUUCUGGAUUCAAAAUUGAUUCUGUGUUGUUGAUUUCACUGUUGAUUCCUGUUACUGUAUUGUUGUUGAACCUGCUGGUUCUACCUUCUUCUUUCAUUUUUCCCUCAAUUCCAAGUAUUUCUCAAUCUCAAGAGGUGUAUUAUAGUUGGGACUGCAGAUUCAAGGAAUGGAUAAUGAAUUGCUGGUUAUUUCAGUACCUAAAGAUCUCAUUUCUUUGCUUAGUUUAAUGUUCUGUCUUUGUAUAAUUGAAACCCUUGUCUUUUGUAUGUAUUAGUAGAACUGGUGGAUUUAUUUGUAAACUGGACUGUUGAAUUAUAUUUUAUCUCAC
rnacentral:lncRNA from 1 species